ACAGGUUUGGAAAACUUUAAUUUGGAAGACCUCCAUGAAUUGCGACAUGAAGAAAAGGAAGAAGUUAAAAAACAGAUUGAAGCCAUAUAUAUUGAGGCAACCUCUUUGGAGAAAAAAGCCAGAGAAUUGGCAUGUGAUACAAAUUCAAAACAGUAUAUUCUUCGCCACGCACAAACCUUAACAGAAAAAGCAAAUGAGAUGAAAGAAAAGAUAUGCUUAGCAUCAGGGAAAUCAUUCCAAACACCUGAUGAACUACAAAUUGCUAUAAAGCAAUCCAUAGCUUCAAACGAGGAACAAACAUUAAUAGUUGAGAGACUUAAGAGGAACUGUUCAUCCCAUGGCUUAGAAUACAGAGGUCAAACACCAGGGAAUGGGAAUUGUUUUUUUGAAGCAAUCACAUGCCAGCUAGAUAGAAUUGGCGCAGACGUUAUUGCUC